rnacentral:rRNA from 1 species
AACGAACGCUGGCGGCAUGCCUAACACAUGCAAGUCGAACGAGACCUUCGGGUCUAGUGGCGCACGGGUGCGUAACGCGUGGGAACCUACCCUUAGGUUCGGAAUAACUCCCCGAAAGGGGUGCUAAUACCGGAUAAUGUCUUCGGACCAAAGAUUUAUCGCCUUUGGAUGGGCCCGCGUUGGAUUAGCUAGUUGGUAGGGUAAAAGCCUACCAAGGCGACGAUCCAUAGCUGGUCUGAGAGGAUGAUCAGCCACACUGGGACUGAGACACGGCCCAGACUCCUACGGGAGGCAGCAGUGGGGAAUAUUGGAAAAUGGGCGAAAGCCUGAUCCAGCAAUGCCGCGUGAGUGAUGAAGGCCUUAGGGUUGUAAAGCUCUUUUACCCGGGAUGAUAAUGACAGUACCGGGAGAAUAAGCUCCGGCUAACUCCGUG